rnacentral:rRNA from 1 species
CCAAUAGCGUAUAUUAAAGUUGUUGCAGUUAAAAAGCUCGUAGUUGAAUUUCGGGAUCAAUAUGUUGGUCGUGCCUUGGUACGUACUAGUUUAUUGGUUUCUUCCUUCUGACGAACCAUGAUGUCAUUAAUUUGAUGUCAUGGGGAAUCAGGACUGUUACUUUGAAAAAAUUAGAGUGUUUAAAGCAGGCUCACGCUUGAAUACAUUAGCAUGGAAUAAUGAAAUAGGACGUUUGAUUCUAUUUUGUUGGUUUCUAGGAUCGACGUAAUGACUAAUAGGGAUAGUUGGGGGCAUUAGUAUUCAAUUGUCAGAGGUGAAAUUCUUGGAUUUAUUGAAGACUAACUACUGCGAAAGCAUUUGCCAAGGAUGUUUUCAUUAAUCAAGUACGAAAGUUAGGGGAUCGAAGACGAUCAGAUACCGUCGUAGUCUUAACCAUAAACUAUGCCGACUAGGGAUCGGAUGAUGUUAAUUUUUUAAUGACUCAUUCGGCGCCUUACG